UGCCCCCUGCAUUUAAAAUCUCCAUUAUCCUCCUGAUUUCUGUUUCAACCUCAUCACUGACCCUAUCACCAAAAGACAUGGAAGAUUUUUGGUAAUUGAUGUCUUGGCCAGUGGCUGCUCAAUAUCUCUUUAAGAUGUCAUGAAGGACUUUAUUUUGGGACACUUUCACUUAACAAACAAAGAGACUGUCCUCAGCAAAGAGGAGAUGAUGCAAGCUAGGACCACCUUGUAUCGCUCCUUCUUCUUCUGCCUUGUUAAGGAGAUGUGUGAGACUUCGGUACACAAGACAGAUAAAAAAGAAGACAGAAGAUCACCUUGACGAAUGCCUUUACCAAGGAUAUCAAGCCAAAA
rnacentral:lncRNA from 1 species